GACGAACGCUGGCGGUGUGCCUAAUACAUGCAAGUUGAGCGAUGAAGAUUGGUGCUUGCACCAAUUUGAAGAGCAGCGAACGGGUGAGUAACGCGUGGGGAAUCUGCCUUUGAGCGGGGGACAACAUUUGGAAACGAAUGCUAAUACCGCAUAACAACUUUAAACAUAAGUUUUAAGUUUGAAAGAUGCAAUUGCAUCACUCAAAGAUGAUCCCGCGUUGUAUUAGCUAGUUGGUGAGGUAAAGGCUCACCAAGGCGAUGAUACAUAGCCGACCUGAGAGGGUGAUCGGCCACAUUGGGACUGAGACACGGCCCAAACUCCUACGGGAGGCAGCAGUAGGGAAUCUUCGGCAAUGGACGAAAGUCUGACCGAGCAACGCCGCGUGAGUGAAGAAGGUUUUCGGAUCGUAAAACUCUGUUGGUAGAGAAGAACGUUGGUGAGAGUGGAAAGCUCAUCAAGUGACGGUAACUACCCAGAAAGGGACGGCUAACUACGUG
rnacentral:rRNA from 1 species